UGGUUGACUUAAAUUCAUUACUUUGGUGACUGAGAGAAGAGAAUGGAGCUGAAAGGAGAUGCCGGCAAGGAAGUGAUGCACCGAAAUGUGAAGCAAGCUUCCAGGAAUUUCCAGAUGGAUGGAAUGAAGGCUGGAAUGAAGGAGCAGUCACUGCCUUAGGAAGACAGCUCGCUGGCUUGAAUAUUUGCUCUGUGUGGACCUGUGUGGAUGCGAUGAGAUUUAUUGCGACAAGCAGAGGUGCUGGGAUGUGAUAAUUGCCUUCAUUCCCGGACGGAGACCCUGACGAACAAAAGGCAGUUGCCUGUGAGUCCUUGGUGUGACUCAAGCAUUCGCUUGCAGGGGAGGA